CAAAUUAGAACUUGAUAUAAGUAUUUUAUUUACAUUAAAAUUAUAAUUGUGAAAUUCAAUUUAAUUUGA
rnacentral:tRNA from 1 species